CCGCCGCUCCGCACCUCUGUGUGCUGAGAACAAACCCGGCAGCGAGCUCGGUCUCGCUUCUCGCCUUCGAGGCUGCUCUCGCUGCAAGCUGAUCUCGAAGCGGCCUUGGUCCAAGCAAAGGAGUCCUCCUCUCUCGGAGCGGACAGUCCUGCAAGAGGCUCGCGGCGGCUCCGCAGAGGUAAUCCGGAGGCAGCGGCAGUCCCUCGCAAACCCCAGGCGGUAGCUGAGGCAGGUUGAGACGAGUCCGGUGCCCGGCCUCCCUCGGCACAGCUCACACCCGCGGGCAAGCGGGGCCACGAGGGCGCGGCGCCUCCUGGACGGGCGAUCGCGAGCCUAGAAACUCGCCAGAGCCGCCUCCGCUUCGAGCCUGCGAACCACGUCGAUCCGGCGGUAGACGAGGCCGUGUCCCCGGAGAGCUGGAGCGUGGCAAGCCCUGGUGAGCCGGUGCGGAGCAAAGAGGCCGGGCUGGCUCCGGGAGCGGCGUACGCGGCCGGCCCUUGGGACCAGGCUUCGGCAGCCAGGCGCGAGCAGGCCCUCGGCUUGGGCUUGCAGGGCUCUUUGUUUACACGCAGUUCAGAGCCCCUGGCCUUAGGCCAGAAAAGUGCAGUUUCAUUUCUUGGAUGGCGGAGAAGCCUUAGAACUUCACGACUAGCUUUUCCUGCAAGGGCUACACGUUUUUUCGGGGUAAGCACAUUCCCAUUAACCCUUCCAUCACCUCUCCUCACCCCUAGAAGCCAGCAAGGGAAGGGACCUGCCCCAGAGUCCCUGUGCACCUGCGGAGAAGAGAAAGAGCCUUGGGUCUGCCCCGUAGCAAAGCUGCUCCCUCCCUCCUCCCCCCCGGCCUUCCUCUGUUAGAGACUUUGCAAGGGCAGGUCUGUACCGAGCUCGCUCUGUACCGCCUCCGAGCUCGGCACAUAUGUGCAUUCGCAGAUCUGAGCAGGCAAGGCGAUGGAGAGGAGCACUGCACUGCAGCGGGCAUUGCCACGGGCACUUGUGACCGCCCCCGGGGGGGGCUCCCCGGCAGAGCCACUUCCCCUGCGGGUGGAGCGCGCAGUCUGGAGGCGAGCCCCGGCCCCUGCGCGCGGGAGAGCGGCUCCUCUCUGCCGCCGCCGUGCAUGGCAAGGGAGCGCUCUGCAGGCACUGGGCAGGCUGGUUCUCCCCGGACACGUGAUUGAAUCCGAUCUCCGGCGCUCCUCAAUGGGGUGGCGGAGGAGGAGGAGGAGGUUGCCGUGUUGUGUACUUAAGGUCGCGUGUGUGUGCUGGGCUGCUCGCUCGCUCGCUGCCUCGGAGGAGUAAGGGCCACUGCUCCGCCUUCUCCUUUUCGCAAUGUUGACGCAAUCUAUAAAUAGUGGAACAAAAGGACCAACUUCCUCGCAGCUUUGCUGAAACUGCACAAAAAAAGGCAACAGGGGGCUUGUUAUUUGUAUCGAUUUUUUCCGCUUCGAAAGACGAAUCUGGGGCCGAUCUCGCAAAGGGAAGCUUUUUUUUUCCUGUGGUCUCUCCUACCGCUGGCAGCGUCCUGCAAGUGGCUCUUUUGCCUUCCACUGCGAAGGGGGGUUUAUUUUUUUUCCUCCUCUGCUGACAUAACCGGGAGAUCGGUGCAUGCAAAAGCAGUCACUGACCAGAGAGAGAAUUACAUCAUCCCCCUCUCCAAUGAUGUUACCUUUCGAGCGCAACCACGUUCAUAGUUGCUGAUUUGGUACAAAUAGAUGGGAAUUAGGACACAAAGGAGAUGAAAACAACCCCUGCUGCUUCUCACUGAGGAUUCCCUAGAUGCAAGGGAGUCCCUGCAGGCAGAGAUGACAUAGCUUGCUUUUUUACAAUGCAAUCCUCACCAGCUCUGGCACAGGAGACAGAAAUUUGUGAAUGAAAAUUACUUACACAGAUGUCUAUCCUGUAAUUAAAGGUUUUGACCUUUCAAUAGAGAGCUGAUUCUGGAGAACAACUUACUUCUGUGAUUGAAAAAUUCUCUCUGAAAAGCUGAUGCAGUAUAAGUAUGGUACAUUCAUUUGGCACUCUGAAGAAGAGAUUAUUUUGGCAGUAUCUUCCCACCCCUUGACAAAAAGAUGAUACAUCUGACUCAGAACUGGAAAGGGAAAUCUGCCAGUUUACGUCAACUCCUAACUUGUGGGCUUCUGUUCACCACAAGGACAAUUGGGUGAACAGAAAUUACUUUGCCAGUAAUUCUUGGAAGAUGAGGAAGAAGAGUCAUCUCCAAAAAGACAUGUGGUGCCUCACACUGUAGGCCUGGGCCUUCUGUAUUUAUAGGAAAAACAUAGUAUAAUGUAAGGUGUUCUUACACUUAAUUUAAUUCAGAAACCAGCAACUAAGAUUGUUCCUGAAUCUAAAGUUUAAAAUGGGGAGGAGCCACCUUGAGAUUUGUGAUGCAGAAUAAGAUCAAAAGAAUAUGCUUCCAUUCAAAAAUGCAAGAAAUCUAUUUUGAAGGUAAUAAGGCCAGAUGGACAGUGCCCCAUCUGCCCAUGUGCUGGAUCCAGCCAAUGCUUGUCAUCCAGUGCCUGGGGCAGGUGGCUCUCCAGUUGAUCAACAGACCAUGAGCAAGUGUUCUGUAGAAGCAGGCUGUGGCUGUUUCACCUCCGUAUUUUCGGUAACUAAAUUGCAGUGAUAGAAACUAAAAGUAGGCACCUUAUUAGAAUCCUAGAAAGUUAAGGUUGGAAGGAGCCUCAGGAGAUCACCUAGUCCAACCCCCUGCUCAAAGCAGGAUCAUCACAGCCAAAACUUCAUCUAGUCAGGGUUUGAAAACCUCCAAGGAUGGAGCUUCCACCACCUCUCUGGGUAACCUGUUCUAGUGUUUUACUACCCUCCUAGUGAGAAAAUUCGUCCUAAUAUCUAACCUAAGCUUCCCUUGCAACAAGUUGAGACUUGCUCCUUUUUCCAUCAUCUGCCACCACUGAGAACAGUUUAGCUCCAUCCUCUUUGGAACCACCCUUCAGGUAGUUGAAGGCUGCUAUUAAAUCCCCGCUCAGUCUCCUCUAGACUAAAUCAGCCGAGGUUUCCUUGGUCUUUCCUCAUCAGUCAUGUCCCCCAGCCCCCUCAUCAUUUUGUUGCCCUCUGCUGGACUCCGUUUUGUCUACAUCCUUUCUGUGGUGGGGGCCCAAAACUGAAUACAGCAGUCCAGAUG